rnacentral:misc_RNA from 1 species
ACCAUGAGAUACCAAUAGAAAUCAAAACAAGUCACGUUUCGGCGGAAUGAAAAAACAAAAGGCAACCGAAAAAGAAACCCGUAGUGGUGCCCGUCAACUCAGAUGAUUCAGGAAUGAACACCUGCUCAAGAUGUCCCCUGCAUCAUCCAAAUGGCUCUUGAGACACUGCAGGUAUAGGGUGUAUACCGCCGCUACAGGGAGCACACGAAAAGCAAGGAAAGAGGUUACCGUGGUUACGGGGAAAGAAUCAGGGUAUCUUUGGCACAGCAUAAUAAUUCUGGGCUGUUUGUGUAUCUACUCGUACAGAGCAUGCCGACGGUCUGGCGUCUUGGAGCAAUGUUGUGGAACGGCUCUAGAAGUCGCGAUAUAGACGCUAGCGAGACGGGACCAACGUCAGGAAUUCGGGAAGCUCUGGUAGGGUUCAAUAGAUGCUUGGCUAUGAUGAUGAGACUACCUGGUGAGUGGUGGUUUCGUAGCUC